rnacentral:rRNA from 1 species
AACGAACGUUGGCGGCGUGGAUUAGGCAUGCAAGUCGAACGAGAACCUUGGGGGUAACUCUGAGGGGAAAGUGGCGAAAGGGGCAGUAAGGCGUGGGUAACCUACCCUGGGGAUCGGGAUAGCCGUUCUAACGGACGGGUAAUACCGGGCGAGCUAGCGAGGGGGCAUCUCCUUGCUAGGAAAUGAAUUUCGCCUCGGGAGGGGCUCACGUGCUAUUAGCUAGUUGGCGAGGUAACGGCUCACCAAGGCAAAGAUGGCUAGCGGGUGUGAGAGCACGACCCGCGCCACUGGCACUGAGACACUGGCCAGACUCCUACGGGAGGCUGCAGUCGAGGAUCUUCGGCAACGGGCGCAAGCCUGACCGAGCGACGCCGCGUGUGCGAUGAAGGCCUUCGGGUUGCAAGCACUGU